UCUCAGAGGGACUGCGACAUCU
rnacentral:miRNA from 1 species